rnacentral:rRNA from 1 species
GAUGAACGCUGGCGGCGUGCUUAACACAUGCAAGUCGAACGGAAAGGCUCCUGCUUGCCGGGGUACUCGAGUGGCGAACGGGUGAGUAACACGUGGGUGAUCUGCCCUGCACUUCGGGAUAUGCCUGGGAAACUGGGUCUAAUACCGGAUAGGACGAUGGUUUGGAUGCCAUUGUGGAAAGUUUUUCGGUGUGGGUUGAGCUCGCGGCCUAUCAGCUUGUUGGUGGGGUAAUGGCCUACCAAGGCGUCGACGGGUAGCCGGCCUGAGAGGGUGUACGGCCACAUUGGGACAGAGAUACGGCCCAGACGCAAACGGGAGGCAGGAGUGGGAAAUAUUGCACAAUGGGCGCAGGCCGGGAGCAGCGACGCCGCGUGGGGGAUGACGGCCUUCGGGUAGUAAACUCCUUUCGCUAGGGACGAAGCGCAAGUGAGGGUACCAGGAGAAGAAGCACCGGCUAACUACGU